AAUCAACGCUGGCGGCGCGCCUAACACAUGCAAGUCGCACGAGAAAGGGAGCAAUCCUGAGUAAAGUGGCGUACGGGUGAGUAACACGUGGGAAUCUACCUCUUGGCGGGGAAUAACCCUGGGAAACCGGGGCUAAAACCGCAUAAGCCCGUGAGAGGAAAGCAGCGAUGCACCGAGGGAGGAGCCCGCGGCCGAUUAGCUAGUUGGUGGGGUAAUGGCUCACCAAGGCGACGAUCGGUAGCCGGCCUGAGAGGGCACACGGCCACACUGGCACUGAAACACGGGCCAGACUCCUACGGGAGGCAGCAGUGGGGAAUCUUGCACAAUGGGGGAAACCCUGAUGCAGCGACGCCGCGUGAGCGAUGAAGCCCUUCGGGGUGUAAAGCUCUUUCGACAGGAACGAUAAUGACGGUACCUGGAGAAGAAGCUGCGGCUAACUACGUG
rnacentral:rRNA from 1 species